CAAGGAAUAGUUUAGUUAAGAAUGCUAGCUUUGGGGGCUAGAGGUGGGGGUUUAAGUCCCCUUUCUUUGA
rnacentral:tRNA from 1 species